AAUUUUGCUCAAUGGGCGCAAGCCUGAAGCAGCGACGCCGCGUGAAUGAUGAAGUCUUUCGGGAUGUAAAGUUCUGUCGAUGGGGACAAUAAUGAUGGUACCCAUAGAGGAAGCACCGGCAAACUAUGUGCCAGCAGCCGCGGUAAUACAUAGGGUGCGAGCGUUAUCCGGAUUUACUGGGCGUAAAGCGUAUGUAGGUGGUAUUCUAAGUCAAACUUCAAAUACUGAGGCUUAACUUCGGUCCGGGUUUGAUACUGGAAUACUAGAGUUUGGGAGAGGAAAGCGGAACUAACAGUGUAGCGGUGAAAUGCGUAGAUAUUGUUAGGAACACCCGUGGCGAAGGCGGCUUUCUGGACCAACACUGACACUGAGAUACGAAAGCGUGGGGAGCAA
rnacentral:rRNA from 1 species